rnacentral:rRNA from 1 species
AAACCAACAGGGAUUGCCCCAGUAGCGGCGAGUGAAGCGGCAAGAGCUCAGAUUUGAAAUCGUGUUUCGGCACGAGUUGUAGAGUGUAGGCGGGAGUCUCUGUGGAGCGCGGUGUCCAAGUCCCUUGGAACAGGGUGCCUGAGAGGGUGAGAGCCCCGUAGGGUGCUGCGCGAAGCUUUUGAGGCCCUGCUGACGAGUCGAGUUGUUUGGGAAUGCAGCUCCAAGCGGGUGGUAAAUUCCAUCUAAGGCUAAAUAUUGGCGAGAGACCGAUAGCGAACAAGUACUGUGAAGGAAAGAUGAAAAGCACUUUGAAAAGAGAGUGAAACAGCACGUGAAAUUGUUGAAAGGGAAGGGUAUUGGGCUCGACAUGGGGGGUGCGCACCGCUGUCUCUUGUAGGCGGCGCUCUGGGCGCCCUCUGGGCCAGCAUCGGUUCCUGCUGCGGGAGAAGGGGCUCCGGAAAGUGGCUCUUCGGAGUGUUAUAGCCGGGGCCAGAUGCCGCGUG